UACAGAGACUGCAAGCGUUAUUCGGAUUCACUGGGCGUAAAGGGUGCGCAGGCGGCCAAGUGUGUGAGGCGUGAAAGCCCGGGGCUCAACCCCGGAAUUGCACCUCAAACUACAUGGCUAGAGCAUUGGAGAGGGUAGCAGAAUUCAUGGUGUAGCAGUGAAAUGCGUAGAUAUCAUGAGGAAUACCAGAGGCGAAGGCGGCUACCUGGACAAUUGCUGACGCUCAGGGACGAAAGCUAGGGGAGCGAAAGGG
rnacentral:rRNA from 1 species